UACGUAGGGGGCAAGCGUUAUCCGGAUUUACUGGGUGUAAAGGGAGCGUAGACGGCAUUGCAAGUCUAAUGUGAAAACCCGCGGCUCAACUGCGGGAUUGCAUUGGAAACUGUAGAGCUCGAGUACUGGAGGGGUAAGCGGAAUUCCUGGUGUAGCGGUGAAAUGCGUAGAUAUCAGGAGGAACACCGGCGGCGAAGGCGGCUUACUGGACAGUAACUGACGUUGAGGCUCGAAAGCGUGGGGAGCAAAC
rnacentral:rRNA from 1 species